GCACUCCCGGGGCGUCUUACUCUCAUUGCGAGAGAAGGCGCACCUAGAGCGCACACGCUGAUACCCGAAAGAUGGUGAACUAUGCCUGGCCAGGACGAAGCCAGGGGAAACCCUGGUGGAGGUCCGCAGCGAUUCUGACGUGCAAAUCGAUCGUCGGAGCUGGGUUUAGGGGCGAAAGACCAAUCGAACCAUCUAGUAGCUGGUUCCCUCUGAAGUUUCCCUCAGGAUAGCUUGCGCUCAGAGGAACGAGUCUCAUCCGGUAGAGCGAAUGAUUAGAGGCCUUGGGGUCGAAACGACCUCAACCUAUUCUCAAACUCCAAAUAGAUGAGAAUUCCGGCUUCCUUGAAUUAUGAAGCCGGGGAAUCGGAUCAGAGUGCCAAGUGGGCCAAUUUUGGUAAGCAGAACUGGCGCUGUGGGAUGAACCAAACGCUGAGUUAAGGCGCCUCAAUCGACGCUCAUUUGAAACCAUGAAAGGUGUUGGUUGCUUAAGACAGUAG
rnacentral:rRNA from 2 species